AUUGAACGCUGGCGGCAUGCCUUACACAUGCAAGUCGAACGGCAGCACGGGAGCAAUCCUGGUGGCGAGUGGCGAACGGGUGAGUAAUAUAUCGGAACGUGCCCAGUCGUGGGGAUAACGUAGCGAAAGCUACGCUAAUACCGCAUACGAUCUACGGAUGAAAGCGGGGGGAUCGCAAGACCUCGCGCGAUUGGAGCGGCCGAUAUCAGAUUAGGUAGUUGGUGAGGUAAAGGCUCACCAAGCCGACGAUCUGUAGCUGGUCUGAGAGGACGACCAGCCACACUGGGACUGAGACACGGCCCAGACUCCUACGGGAGGCAGCAGUGGGGAAUUUUGGACAAUGGGCGGCAAGCCUGAUCCAGCAAUGCCGCGUGCAGGAUGAAGGCC
rnacentral:rRNA from 1 species